GAUGAAUGCUGGCGGCGUGCCUAACACAUGCAAGUCGAGCGGUAAGGCCCUUCGGGGUACACGAGCGGCGGACGGCUGAGUAACGCGCGGGAAUUUGCCCCAAAGUGAGGAAUAACUACCCGAAAGGGUAGCUAAUGCCGCAUAUGGUCUUCGGAUUAAAGGAUUUAUCCGCUUUGGGAGAAGCCCGCGUUGGAUUAGGUAGUUGGUGAGAUAAAAGCUCACCAAGCCAACGAUCCAUAGCUGGUCUGAGAGGACGAUCAGCCACACGGGUACUGAGAAACGGUCCCGACUCCUACGGGGGGCAGCAGUGAGGAAUAUUGGGCAAUGGGCGGAGGCCUGACCCAGCAACGCCGCGUGAAGGAUGAAGGCCUUCGGGUUGUAAACUUCUUUUAUGGGGGAAGAGAGUGGACGGUACCCUAAGAAUAAGUCACGGCUAACUACGUGCCAGCCGCCGCCGUAACAC
rnacentral:rRNA from 1 species